UGGGGAAUAUUGGACAACGGGCGAAAGCCUGAUCCAGCCAUGCCGCGUGUGUGAAGAAGGUCUUCGGAUUGUAAAAGCACUUUAAAGUUGGGAGGAAGGGCAGUAAGCUAAUACCUUGCUGUUUUGACGUUACCGACAGAAUAAGCACCGGCUAACUUCGUGCCAGCAGCCGCGGUAAUACGAAGGGUGCAAGCGUUAAUCGGAAUUACUGGGCGUAAAGCGCGCGUAGGUGGUUUGAUAAGUUGGAUGUGAAAGCCCCGGGCUCAACCUGGGAAUUGCAUCCAAAACUGUCUGACUAGAGUAUGGCAGAGGGUGGUGGAAUUUCCUGUGUAGCGGUGAAAUGCGUAGAUAUAGGAAGGAACACCAGUGGCGAAAGGCGACCACCUGGGGCUAAAUUACUGACACUGAGGUGCGAAAGCGUGGGGAGCAAAACAAGGAUUAGAUACCCUGGUAGUCCACGCCGUAAACGAUGUCGACUAGCCGUUGGGAUCCUUGAGAUCUUAGUGGCGCAGCUAACGCAUUAAGUCGACCGCCUGGGGAGUACGGCCGCAAGGUU
rnacentral:rRNA from 1 species